rnacentral:rRNA from 1 species
CUGGCUCAGAACGAACGCUGGCGGCAGGCUUAACACAUGCAAGUUGAACGGGAUUGAUUGGUAGCUUGCUAUUAAUCAUGAGAGUAGCGCACUGGUGAGUAACACGUGGGAACGUACCUAUUGUGGGGGACAACAGUUGGAAACGACUGCUAAUACCGCAUAAGCCCUGAGGGGGAAAGAUUUAUUGCCGAUAGAUCGGCCCGCGGAAGAUUAGGUAGUAGGUGGGGUAACGGCCUACCUAGCCGACGAUCUAUAGCUGGUCUAAGAGGACGAUCAGCCACAUUGGAACUGAGACACGGUCCAGACUCCUACGGGAGGCAGCAGUGAGGAAUAUUGGGCAAUGGAGGCAACUCUGACCCAGCCAUGCCCGCGUGAGUGAAGAAGGUUUUCGGAUUGUAAAGCUCUUUCAGAUGAGAAGAUGAUGACGGUAUCAUCAGAAGAAGCACCGGCUAACUUCGUGCCAGCCGCCGC